GAUUUAUUUCGCCAAACCUCGCCAGUCAUGUUCAGAAGGAAUUUAGCCAUCAAGGUUUCGCCAAACCUCGCCAAAUCGCAAGGAUAUCGCAGGUUAAAUUAGGGGAAGAGGGCUGGAAAGACAGAUAUUAUGCAGAAAAAAUUGGGGUUGAAUAUGUUGAAGAUUGUGAUAGGGUUCGUAGGGAUACAGUAAGGAUAUUCAUUCUUGCUGUACUGCCUUUAAACAUGAAAAGAACUAGAAUAUUCCAAUCCAGUUGUUUUGAAAUAUGCUGAAGGGAUAUGUUGGGUAAUGCAUUAUUACUGCCAAGGAGUCUGCUCCUGGCAAUGGUUUUAUCCUUACCACUAUGCUCCCUUUGCAUCUGAUUUUCAUGGUUUUGAUCAAUUAGACAUAACUUUCACACUAGGCAAGCCCUUCAAGCCUUUUGAUCAAUUGAUAGGUGUCCUUCCAGCUGCAAAGUUUUUGGACUUAUUUAUACUUUUUUUUUUUG